UACGUAGGUGGCAAGCGUUGUCCGGAUUUAUUGGGUUUAAAGGGUGCGUAGGCGGCCUUGUAAGUCAGUGGUGAAAUACUCCAGCUUAACUGGAGGGGUGCCAAUGAUACUGCAGGGCUUGAGUACAGAUGAGGUAGGCGGAAUUGACGGUGUAGCGGUGAAAUGCAUAGAUAUCGUCAAGAACACCGAUAGCGAAGGCAGCUUACUGGGCUGUAACUGACGGCUGAGGCACGAAAGUGUGGGGAUCAAACAGG
rnacentral:rRNA from 1 species